AGAGUUUGAUCCUGGCUCAGAAUGAACGUUGGCGGCGUGGAUUAGGCAUGCAAGUCGCACGCGACAUGUAGCAAUACAUGUUGAGUGGCGUAAGGGAGAGUAAUGCAUGGUUAGCUACCCCCGGGACUGGGAUAGCGGCGGGAAACUGCCGGUAAUACCAGAUGACAUCUUCGGAUCAAACGUGUGAAGCGGCCCGGGGAGGUGACCAUGUCCUAUCAGCUAGUUGGCGGUGUAACGGACCACCAAGGCUUAGACGGGUAUGGGGCGUGAGAGCGUGCCCCCACUCACUGGGACUGAGACACUGCCCAGACACCUACGGGUGGCUGCAGUCGAGAAUCUUCGGCAAUGGGCGCAAGCCUGACCGAGCGACGCCGCGUGCGGGAUGAAGGCCUUCGGGUUGUAAACCGCUGUCGUAGGGGAGGAAGAUCCUGUGAAGAACAGGGUUUGACCGAUCCUAGGAGGAAGGGCCGGCUAAUCUCGUGCCAGCAGCCGCGGUAAUACGAGAGGCCCAAACGUUAUUCGGAAUUACUGGGCUUAAAGAGUUCGUAGGCGGCGCGGAAAGUGGGGUGUGAAAGCCCUCGGCUCAACCGAGGAAUUGCGCUCCAAACUACCGUGCUUGAGGAAGCUAGAGGUGAGCAGAACUGAUGGUGGAGCGGUGAAAUGCGUUGAUAUCAUCAGGAAUACCGGAGGCGAAGGCGGCUCACUGGGGCUUUUCUGACGCUGAGGAACGAAAGCCAGGGUAGCGAACGGGAUUAGAUACCCCCGUAGUCC
rnacentral:rRNA from 1 species